rnacentral:misc_RNA from 1 species
GAUGAAGAACGUAGCGAAAUGCGAUAAGUAAUGUGAAUUGCAGAAUUCCGCGAAUCAUCGAAUCUUUGAACGCACAUUGCGCCCCCUGGCAUUCCGGGGGGCAUGCCUGUCCGAGCGUCAUUUCUGCCCUCCAGCCCGGCUGGGUGUUGGGCGCUGUCCCCCCGGGGACACGCCCCAAAGGCAGUGGCGGCGCCGCGUCGGGUCCUCGAGCGUAUGGGGCUUUGUCACCCGCUCGGGACGGACUCGUCGGCGCUGGUCUUCCUCCAGGCGACCCUUCGGGGCUCGUCUUCCUUCGGUUGACCUCGGAUCAGGUAGGGUUACCCGCUGAACUUAAGCAUAUCAAUAAGCGGAGGA